rnacentral:lncRNA from 1 species
GUCCUCCUCGCUCUGGUCGAGCACGGCGGCCAGCGACAGGCUCGACAGGGCGUCGCGCAUGUGGGUAAAGGUCACCGGGCUCCCGUUGAACCCUGCCGCCGCGCACACGGCAUCCGCAGCGGCAACAUUGGCGCGCGCAAUGAUGACGCCGGCGGCCACGGCCACGGCCACCACCGAGUCGAGCACGUCGGCGGCACGCCUGAGACGCGGCGCCGCUUCGGGAAGCGCCGACGCUGCGCGCGCGUCGGCUUCGCCGAUGAUGCGCUUGGCCUCUGUCGCGUCAAAGCGGUCGGCCCACAGGCAGAGCAUGAGCGCGCCCUCGACGUACCGGGCCAACGCCGAGAGGGCACGCUCGGCGCGCUGCAGCCGCGGGUCGCACGCGCGUAUGAGCGGCGCCACCUCUUUGACGGCGAUGACGCCCGCGCACAAGACGUCAAUGAUGCCUGCUUCGCAUCGAAACGAACGGCGCGCCUGCAGCGACGCAGCCGUGAGAGCAGCCAGGCGCGCCGCGUUGACCCGCUCGCGGGACUGGGUCCUCGCGAUGGCCAGCGUAAAGCCCGACCACGUGCGUGCGCACGUCGCGCACCCUGCAGCGUCGGCCUCUUUGCGGUCGAUGAUGCCGCUGGCGUUGAUGGUCGCAUGGCGCGUGAAGCAACCGAUGAGUGACGCCGGCGCGACCGAUAUGGAGAACCACUUGCGCCCGCGCCGCGGGCGCCUGCCCCGCGGGCACGCGCUCUCGCGGCUGCACUGCAUGUCGAGACCCACCCAGUGGCUCGACCCGCCUAGGCUCGAAGAGGCCACGCACAACAGGGUGCAAAUGUCGUCGCAGCCGCCGUUGCCGUCGUUUCCAGGAGACAGGUAGUCCGCCUCUCCCUUUGCCGGAUCGCGCGGCGCCAAGUUGUCCGGUGCGCGCCGGUCCAUGAUGUACGCGGCCAUGAGGCGCACGUCGCCCACAUAAGCGCCCUUGAGGUUGCGCGCGGCCGUGACCACGAUAUCAGACACGUGCGUGCCCAGCGACGAGAGCGGAUCGGCAUAGGGGACGCGUUGGAGUUCGACGACGACCAGGCCCGGUACGAUGAACCCCGCCACAGUCGACUCGGUUACGGGGGGUUUGGUCGCCGCUAUGCCCGGGGAGGUCUCACUCGAAACGGACCGCGCGCCCCUCGUGCGAUGCGCGGGCGCGGACUGGGCCGAGACAAAAGACAUGAUGCACAGGCAGAGUGGCGGCGGAACGGGCUGCUUUUUUUCGUCGUUGCACCGGUGCUGGUGGUGACGACUGUGCUUGUAGUAAAAAAAAAAAGAAUCUGCGCCUGCCACCAAUAAAAAGAUGUCCUCGUUGCAGACAAAAAAAAAGAGUGAAG